AGAGUUUGAUCAUGGCUCAGAUUGAACGCUGGCGGCAGGCCUAACACAUGCAAGUCGAACGGUAACAGGAAGCAGCUUGCUGCUUCGCUGACGAGUGGCGGACGGGUGAGUAAUGUCUGGGAAGCUGCCUGAUGGAGGGGGAUAACUACUGGAAACGGUAGCUAAUACCGCAUAAUGUCGCAAGACCAAAGAGGGGGACCUUCGGGCCUCUUGCCAUCGGAUGUGCCCAGAUGGGAUUAGCUUGUUGGUGGGGUAACGGCUCACCAAGGCGACGAUCCCUAGCUGGUCUGAGAGGAUGACCAGCCACACUGGAACUGAGACACGGUCCAGACUCCUACGGGAGGCAGCAGUGGGGAAUAUUGCACAAUGGGCGCAAGCCUGAUGCAGCCAUGCCGCGUGUAUGAAGAAGGCCUUCGGGUUGUAAAGUACUUUCAGCGGGGAGGAAGGGAGUAAAGUUAAUACCUUUGCUCAUUGACGUUACCCGCAGAAGAAGCACCGGCUAACUCCGUGCCAGCAGCCGCGGUAAUACGGAGGGUGCAAGCGUUAAUCGGAAUUACUGGGCGUAAAGCGCACGCAGGCGGUUUGUUAAGUCAGAUGUGAAAUCCCCGGGCUCAACCUGGGAACUGCAUCUGAUACUGGCAAGCUUGAGUCUCGUAGAGGGGGGUAGAAUUCCAGGUGUAGCGGUGAAAUGCGUAGAGAUCUGGAGGAAUACCGGUGGCGAAGGCGGCCCCCUGGACGAAGACUGACGCUCAGGUGCGAAAGCGUGGGGAGCAAACAGGAUUAGAUACCCUGGUAGUCCACGCCGUAAACGAUGUCGACUUGGAGGUUGUGCCCUUGAGGCGUGGCUUCCGGAGCUAACGCGUUAAGUCGACCGCCUGGGGAGUACGGCCGCAAGGUUAAAACUCAAAUGAAUUGACGGGGGCCCGCACAAGCGGUGGAGCAUGUGGUUUAAUUCGAUGCAACGCGAAGAACCUUACCUGGUCUUGACAUCCACGGAAGUUUUCAGAGAUGAGAAUGUGCCUUCGGGAACCGUGAGACAGGUGCUGCAUGGCUGUCGUCAGCUCGUGUUGUGAAAUGUUGGGUUAAGUCCCGCAACGAGCGCAACCCUUAUCCUUUGUUGCCAGCGGUCCGGCCGGGAACUCAAAGGAGACUGCCAGUGAUAAACUGGAGGAAGGUGGGGAUGACGUCAAGUCAUCAUGGCCCUUACGACCAGGGCUACACACGUGCUACAAUGGCGCAUACAAAGAGAAGCGACCUCGCGAGAGCAAGCGGACCUCAUAAAGUGCGUCGUAGUCCGGAUUGGAGUCUGCAACUCGACUCCAUGAAGUCGGAAUCGCUAGUAAUCGUGGAUCAGAAUGCCACGGUGAAUACGUUCCCGGGCCUUGUACACACCGCCCGUCACACCAUGGGAGUGGGUUGCAAAAGAAGUAGGUAGCUUAACCUUCGGGAGGGCGCUUACCACUUUGU
rnacentral:rRNA from 1 species